AUAAGUAUAAAAUUAUUUAAAAUUUAGUUUAAAAAGUUUAAUAAAAAUAUUUUUAAUUAUUAUGUUUUAGUAAUUUAUAAUGAAAAAAUUAUUUUAAUUAUAGUAUAUUAGUAUUGUAAAAGAAUUUUGAAAUAAAUAUAAUUUAUAUAAAAGUAUAAUUAAUUUUUAGUACCUUGUGUAUCAGGGUUGAUUAAUUUAAAAUUAUUUAUAUUAAUUUUCUCGAAUUUAAAGGAGUUAAUUAGUUAUUUUAGUUAUUGUAAUAAAAAUAUUAAUAAUAAUUAAUUUGUAAUGAAAUGUUAUUCGUCUUUAAAAAUAUCUAGUUUUUUUAGAAAUAAAUUAAAUUUAGUUAUUUUUUUUUAUAAUUUAAUAUUUAUUUAUUAAAUUAAAAUUAAAUAAUAAUAUUUAAAGGGAUAAGCUUUUAAAUAAAUUUCAAUAAUAAUUGUAAAAAUUAUAAAAAUUAUAAGUUUAGAAUUAACUAUUAAUAAAAGUUUGUUAUAAAAAAUUUUAUUUAAAAUAUAAUUUUUAAUUUAUUUUGUUUAUUUAUAAAAAUUAUUUUUUUAAUAAUAAAAAAUAUGUAAUAAUGAUUAAAUUAGUAAAUAAAAAUUGUUUGAAUAAAUUUAUUUGAUAGUUAAUUUUAAGGAAUUCGGCAAAAUUUUUAUUCGCCUGUUUAAUAAAAACAUGUCUUUUUGAAUAUAAUUUAAAGUCUAACCUGCCCAAUGAUGAUUUUAAUGGCUGCAGUAAUUUGACUGUACAAAGGUAGCAUAAUCAUUAGUUUUUUAAUUGAAAGCUUGUAUGAAUGGUUGAACGAGAUAAAUACUGUCUCAAAAUUAAUUUAAUUGAAUUUAAUUUUUAAGUUAAAAAGCUUAAAUAUUAUUAAAAGACGAGAAGACCCUAUAAAGCUUUAUUUAUAUUUAGUAUUAUUUAUUUUUAGAAUUAUUAAAUUUAUAAUAUUAUAAUAAAUUUUAUUGGGGUGAUAAAAAAAUUUAAUAAACUUUUUUUAAAAAUAUAUAAAAAUUAUUAUAUUAAAUGAUCCAAAAUUUUUGAUUAAAAGAAUAAGUUACUUUAGGGAUAACAGCGUAAUUUUUUUAAAGAGUUCAAAUCGAAAAAAAAGAUUGCGACCUCGAUGUUGGAUUAAAGAUUAUUUUUGGUGUAGAAGUUAAAAAUUUAAGUCUGUUCGACUUUUAAAUCUUUACAUGAUCUGAGUUUAAACCGAUGUAAGUCAGGUUGGUUUCUAUCUUUAAUAAAAUAUAAUAUUUUAGUACGAAAGGACCAAAUAUUAAAUAUAAUAUUUUUUUGUAUGAAUAUUAUUAAUUUU
rnacentral:rRNA from 1 species